UACGGGGGGAGCAAGCGUUGUUCGGAUUUACUGGGCGUAAAGGGCGCGUAGGCGGGCCACCAAGUCAGGGGUGAAAUCCCACGGCUCAACCGUGGAAGUGCCCUUGAUACUGGUGGCCUCGAGGGAGGCAGGGGCGUGCGGAACUUUGGGUGGAGCGGUGAAAUGCGUAGAUAUCCAAAGGAACACCGGUGGCGAAAGCGGCGCGCUGGACCUCUUCUGACGCUGAGGCGCAAAAGCCAGGGGAGCAAACGGGG
rnacentral:rRNA from 1 species